AGAUUCUGUACUGGUUCAUAUUAACCUCCCUGUUCAGUUUGUAUCUGUAUCUUGUCCAGUGACAACUCAUUUUCAUAUUAAAAAAUAAUCAGGCAAAUUGACAUUAAACUGUCUUUCCCUUUUAUCUCCUCUUGUCCUAUCGUCUUAAACAUUAGAUGAGAGAAUCUGAUUUAAAACAUGUUGGCAGAUUAUGGUGGCAAGUUUUCCAAAUAAAGCAAAAAAUAAAUACACAUAUUUAUUAAGCAGAUAUCUCAUACUGCUCUUAUGGAAGCCUAGUGAAGUCUUUGAUGAAGUCCUUUUUUUGUAAAGCAGUUUAUUUCAUCUUGAUCUAAUGCCAAUUCAAUAUAUUUUUUAAAAGCCUUUUGCAGUCGAUUAUUGCAAAAAUAAAUUGAUGUGAAUUGUCAGAAACUUAUUUUGUAAGUGUCUAGUUCUAUCACAGACUGAACAAAGCUCUUUAGUUAUUUGAACUAAAUUCAAAUUAACAAGGAAUAGAGCUGUACCAUCUGAUUAAGGAAACUGUCUUGUCAGUGAAAUAGGAUUUUUUCUCUUCUUGGGGAUCCUUCAUUGUUGACCAGUGUGUCUUCAUGAAUAUGUAUAGCAAUUGUAAGGAAAGCUAUUUCAUAGGUUGUUUAAAAUAUAAACUGAAGGAUUUAAAGUCACUCAGUAUUCCUUUACACAAGGAUUUAUUCCAUGCAAGUAGAAUGGCAUAUCACAUCAAUUUGCAUAAUAGUUUAUCUGAGUUUAAUUUGUAAGAGAAAGAAUCCGUACCUCCC
rnacentral:lncRNA from 1 species